rnacentral:rRNA from 1 species
UACGUAGGGUGCAAGCGUUGUCCGGAAUUAUUGGGCGUAAAGAGCUCGUAGGCGGUUUGUCGCGUCUGCUGUGAAAACUCGGGGCUUAACUCCGGGCCUGCAGUGGGUACGGGCAGACUAGAGUGCGGUAGGGGAGACUGGAAUUCCUGGUGUAGCGGUGAAAUGCGCAGAUAUCAGGAGGAACACCCGUGGCGAAGGCGGCUCUCGUCGGGACGGUACUGACGCUGAGGAGACGAAAGCGUGGGGAGCAAACGGG